AAGAAUGCACUAACAGAGUUCAUGUCACUGGAAAGCAGAAGAACUUUAAAUCCAGGAUCUGUCACUCCACAAUGCUACAAGAUGAGGAAGGGGGUAGAUCAAACUGUGAGUCUAAGUGGAGGGGGAGCAGAAAGAGACUAUCAAGGUUUCCUUUCAUUCUGUAAAAUCAGGGCUGGCAGGAAAAUGGGAAAAUCCAGUAGGCCUUGGCCCUUGUGAGCCUCGACAACCAAGACCUGAUCUGCUCCCUGACCUUUACUACUAGCCACGAUCUGCUCCCUGACCUUUACUACUAGCCACGAUCAAGAAGAAGAAGAAGAAACAAGGUUACAUUGAUAGAUUGUCGCUAUGGCCUUCCUGAUUGCUUGAACCGGAUGUCUGUUUUGGAGAAAGCCCAUCUGGUUAGGG